ACAGCAGCAGCCGCGGUAAUACGUAGGGCGCAAGCGUUAUCCGGAAUUAUUGGGCGUAAAGAGCUCGUAGGCGGUUUGUCGCGUCUGCCGUGAAAGUCCGGGGCUCAACCCCGGAUCUGCGGUGGGUACGGGCAGACUAGGGUGAUGUAGGGGAGACUGGAAUUCCUGGUGUAGCGGUGAAAUGCGCAGAUAUCAGGAGGAACACCGAUGGCGAAGGCAGGUCUCUGGGCAUUAACUGACGCUGAGGAGCGAAAGCAUGGGGAGCGAACAGGAUUAGAUACCCGAGUAGUCCCUGUCUCUUAUAC
rnacentral:rRNA from 1 species